UGUAAAAUAUUUUAUAAAGAAUAUUUGUUUUUGGUGCAAAAGGAAAUUUUUACAA
rnacentral:tRNA from 1 species